CCUACUCCGUGUCUUCCGCCAAGAGGCGCUGCCGCCGCUGCCGCCACUGCCGCUCCUCCUCCUCACUGUCGUCCGGCUCCACCGAGAGCGUCUCUUACGGCAUCCCCACCAUAUGCAAGGACAAGAGACAAAAGCGAUACCACGAGGACAUAUUCGGGGCGGUGUUUGCGCACGAGAACCAACGAGACACGAGACCACGACCCGGCUUCGAGUCUCCAAAUCCGCUCACGUUUUAGCUGUAUUUUUGCACAUUCGCUCCCCUUUUCCGAUGUCACGGGGAGCCAAAUUUGUCUUUCCCUCCAAAAUUUUGGAGGUGAAUCAGUACACUUUGGCUCCCAGGAUUGGUUGGGGACCAGACACCUUUUAUUUAAUGCUAUUUAUUCUAUCAGAUCCUUUGUCAUGUGUGUAUAUUGUAUGGGAAGAGGUCAGUUGUAUGUGUUUUUAAAGAAAUGUAUUGCUCAUAUUUUUGGGAGUUGAUGACUAAGCUUGAACUCUUGGUUUCCCAGAUUUCUAGGCCUUGUCUACACAUCUAGAGUUAACCUAGAUUGACUUCUUCUCCCAUGUCUAAAAAUGUUAAUACAGGGUGAUUGGUUGGGAGUUGCAUCAUUUAUACGGUUGAUUUUCCGUUUUUGUACCUUUGUUUAGUUAACCUAUUGCAUAAACUGUUUUGAUUUUGUAAGAGAAAUAAAUAAUUAUUCCUGCUGCUGAAGGAUUUUGACAUUUUUGCGUACCGUUUUGUCGAACACACAAAAGUUGUCACUCGUGACAUCUAUCUAACUUAUUCUUAUUUCUCAAACACACAAAAGUUGUCACUUGUGACAUCUAUCUAUCUAUCUAUCUAUCUAUCUAUCUGUCUGUCUGUCUAUGAAUCUUAUUUCUCACACAAAGGUUGUCACUUGUGACAUCUAUCUAUCUGUCUACCUAUCUUAUUCUUAUUUCUCAAACACACAAAAGUUGUCACUUGUGACAUCUAUCUAUCUAUCUAUCUAUCUAUCUAUCUAUCUAUGAAUCUUAUUCUUAUUUCUCAAACACACAAAGGUUGUCACUCGUGACAUCUAUCUAUCUAUACACAAAAUAAAUGUGAAAAUAUG
rnacentral:lncRNA from 11 species